rnacentral:rRNA from 1 species
AUGGGCGCAAGCCUGAUGCAGCCAUGCCGCGUGUAUGAAGAAGGCCUUCGGGUUGUAAAGUACUUUCAGCAGUGAGGAAGGUGGAUGUGUUAAUAGCGCCUUCAUUUGACGUUAGCUGCAGAAGAAGCACCGGCUAACUCCGUGCCAGCAGCCGCGGUAAUACGGAGGGUGCGAGCGUUAAUCGGAAUUACUGGGCGUAAAGCGCAUGCAGGUGGUUUGUUAAGUCAGAUGUGAAAGCCCGGGGCUCAACCUCGGAAUUGCAUUUGAAACUGGCAGACUAGAGUACUGUAGAGGGGGGUAGAAUUUCAGGUGUAGCGGUGAAAUGCGUAGAGAUCUGAAGGAAUACCGGUGGCGAAGGCGGCCCCCUGGACAGAUACUGACACUCAGAUGCGAAAGCGUGGGGAGCAAACAGGAUUAGAUACCCUGGUAGUCCACGCCGUAAACGAUGUCUACUUGGAGGUUGUGGCCUUGAGCCGUGGCUUUCGGAGCUAACGCGUUAAGUAGACCGCCUGGG